UUUCAUUUCAGUCAUGGAAAAAUGUAGAUUUGGGUUUUUUUAUCAGAAUUUUGGCAUUUUUUUAACAAUGAAAACCAGUAUCCUUGAUGAUCAUUGACACUCCCUGCAGUUGGUUGACAAGCUUGAUAUUGGAGCUGACUGUGAAGGUGCUACAUAGCAAGAGCUGUACAAAUUCAUUAACUUUAUCAAAAGCAAUCACAGCGGCUUUGGGUACACAUGUGGAGAACUUGGUCUAGCUGCUUUUUCUGUGGUUAUGGUUUUAAAAAGAGAGAGACUGGAAUAGGGUAAGCCUAGAAGUUAUGAUAUUUCACUGACUGCUGCAGGGAGUCCAGCACAUGGCUGUUUUUGCUUUGAACCUAGUACAUUUGAUGCACAGUUCAAAUAUCUUAUGAAAGCAGUCUACAGAGGCAGCCUGUAUUGGGUAGAUCUGCAACUUAGGCAAACUUUGUCCCAGAAUGUUUUGGCCAGAUACAGUGGGACUUAAUUGAAGAAUUUCAGUGGAAGACCACAGCAGUCACCCCAGCAGGUUCUUCACUUGCUGGAUUCUGGAUUAAUAAAUGUUGUUUAAUUGGCAAAUUAUAUUUACCUGGCUAAGAACUACUUAAAUACACACGCUGCUUUUUCACCACUGGAUUAUCCAGAGCUACAGUCCAGCAAAGCCAGAAGUCUGUAAUUAAUUUACUAAUGCUGAAUUCAAGCAGCCAAACUUGAUCUCCUGCUCAGUUCUCUUAUAAGAAACCAGUAGUAGCUUUAUUUUCCACUGACAUCCUGGAGACCACUUGCAGGUAAACACAGCUGGGCAAGAAAGCUCUUUUAGGAACUUUUGUUGAGCUAUUGUUCCAAGUAUCCAAGUAGGCAGGAAACAGUUUUUCCUGUAACCCAUAAUCAGAUGGAGGAUUUGAAUGUAUCUUUAAAAAAAAUCCAGAUCUCUUCACUGUUCCUCUUGUGUCACUUGUAAAUCAUUGACAGGGUUGUUCCAUGUGUGGUGUCUCCUGCAAGGACAAAGAGAGGAAAUGCUUACAGCAUGUUAAAGGAGGCAACCCUUAUGUAAACUAGCAGUAAAUAAAACAGUGACAGAUUAGACGCUUGUACUAAACAGAGCUUUAUUAUCCUGUAUCUUCAAAAUGGUGAGCUUGGCACAAGACACCUUUGUCAUGGGUAGUUACCACUCUCAAAAAAGCUGACCAGGAAGUUGUACCCUGAGCCAACUACAUUUUGGGGGCAGUUAGUAUUCCAGAAUUACCAAAUGAUUUACUUGGUGGAUUGGUUUUAAAUGUUGGAUUGUUUACUUAAAAGCUUACUUUACGGUUGUAUUUAAGUGACGCAUUUAAUAGGUCAGUGCUGUUUUUAACAAGCCAUUAAACCAGACUCCUGAGAUGUGGAGGGAGCCAAGAGGUCUUGACAAUGAAAGUUUAAUGGAGUUAAGCAUAACAGCCACUCGACUUUAAAUUACAGCUCCUUAGGAUGUGUCUAGUUCCCAUCAACGUUAAACAUCUGAUUCCCAUUUCAUACAAUACAGCGGAGCAGAACUGAGCGUGUCGACUUUAUGUAAUUACACGUUUAAAAGUCUCCUGUCAAAUCUUGAGCGAGGCUCAAACGUAUCCAAAGGAGCUUCUGAAGCCAGCCCCUCCUGCCAGCUUUUUUAAAGCUAACAAUGGGUUAACAAUGCUGGCUGAGGUUCAGUCGGAGUUGGGAGCAUUUGUAGUUCAGAGGUUCUGGUUUGGAAGGAGCUCUGGGAGUGUGGGAGGAGCUCGUGAAGCUGAUUAUGUGCCCAUGCAGGCUACAGUUUCACUGUGCUGGAGCCCCGACAGCAGCUGAAAUGGAGUCCUUGGUGUGAAAAGCAGCCUCCCAUCAAUGCAUUUGCAGCACUAAUUCCUGUUUUCAGGGGAGGGGUGUCACAAGGAUUGUAGGGGGCUAUGCAGGCAAUGAGAAGGUGUCACAUUUUGAUGGAGUUUUAAUUUUUCUAGUUCAUGUCUUGUGCACAGGCUUUUUCCUUCCCCCCUCCUUUCCCAUCCUCUUCCCUCUACAGUCUAGCCUUUGUUUAAUGCUGACUGUCUAAACGCUAGAGAAAAUGGAUGUUUAACAUCACUGUUUACAUGGGGCCUGGUUUCUGUGUGCUUUCAGAGCCCUCUUGUGUUUCCCAUACAUGUAUCUUAUCCAAGGCUGGCAAAAGUGGGAGUCUUGCUCAGCAAGUCUCAGUCUAGAGGAACUUCUCUUUGAAUUCCUUUCUUUUCAGUAUCUUUGCUGGCAGCCCUUGUUACACUUUUGGGGUGAGGCUGCUUUAAACUGGCUAGUAGGAAAUGGUGUUUCAAGAAGCUGCCCCUCAAAAUUCAGCCAUGGUCCUGAAUUCUGCUGACUUGGGGGAAAAAGUUCCUUUUGAAUUAUUAUCCUGAAGCCAAUUGCUGUAGCCAAGGAAAGUUGGAACUGAUAAACUACCUGGUGUUGAGCAGUCCUGGUGGACAAGUGCAUGCAGAGAGGGAGUCUGCAAAGAAGUCCAGUGAUCAGAGAAACUGGAAAUUGGUGAUGGAGCCAUUGGAGAGAGUAGUAAUCCUUUCUCUUUGAGCAGGCACAAGCUGGAAGGCCCAGGACCACUUCAUUUGUGCCCUAAGCUGACAGCUCAGGGACAGCACUUUGAAAUGUAGAGGUAAUGAAUGUUUGUAUGGCCUUUCUUAUUGGACCACUGAGCAGGACAAUGGGAACCAAACUCUCAUUGUGUCAUACCAGACUAGGUUUGCAGUUAGUCCUUUAGCUCUUGGGUUCCUCUCAUCAGUGAAAUGUAAAUGUUUACCUGCCGAUGCUCCUUGUGUUCUUGCUUGAAACUGAACCAUGCAAGUUGAGUAACCACCAUGUAAGUUGUACAAUUGGGUUGUAGCCGGCAGCUCACAAUUGCAGUAAUAGGGCAUGCCCUAUGCUUUGCCUUUGAUUAGAUGCCAUUGUAGACACUUGACCUUUUUUGCAAGGCUUUGGGUUUUGUUUUGUUUUUUUCCUUAAAUUUGGUGGGGGUUGUAUGUGGGGAGGGGGGAAACUCCAAGUGCUGUUUGAGAGUAGCCUUUAUAUGUUUCCCAGACUUUCAAACAAUGAACCUUGAGGCCUGAAUUAGAUUCAACAUUUUUUCAACAGAUGUUCACGUCCAGCUGGCCAUUAGUACUGUCAGGCAACCUGCUUAAUGCCCACCUGGGGCAAUACAGACUAGAGGCUGAAGAACACCCCCAUUUAUUUACUCGAGUAUCCUUCGUCUGUGAUGGAGGCAAUAUUGAUUUCUGCAAACUAAUAGCAAUGUCUUUCUCCAUAGCAGCUGUCAAGUACAAAAUGAAUGGGGUGGAGGAGGGGUGCUUUAUAACUCUUCCAUUCUAAGCCACUUUUGUUUGUGCCUCUUCUCCUGUAAUGCAAGAAAAAUUGUGGGUGGUGAUGUUUUAGCAGAUCACCUGGAGAAUAGUUGACUUACAAAAUGGAGCAAUGUUUCAGAUUUCUAGCUGACAUCAGACCUGGGACAUGUUUUUAACUAGGGUAGUCUAUGCCAGUCUUAGGCUGAAUCCACUGUCUGCUCACUUCUACGUAAGGUCACCUCAGCCUAGAGAUGACCUCCAACAGGGCAACAUAGCACCGCAGUGCUUGUGUGGCUCCUGCCUGGGCUGAGACUAUUUUUGUGGCUACCUGGAGAGAUCUCCGCUUUGGUGCCAUGAAUCAUGCUUUUGUAACAAACACUACAUUGGCUUCAUUCACUUUUUAAAGGACACUACAUUGUUUUACACAAACGAGAAUGAGAAGCCAAAAUAUUUGGAGCCAGGGUACCCCAUGAACCAAUCAGGUGGUACCUCUGUUUGCUCACACUACCGAGUCAGACAGCUGGGCCUCGACUAUGAAUUGCCUGACUGUCUCUUUUUUUAAAGGGUAUCCUAAACACAGUGUUUAGGUUUGUCUGCAUGUUGACAUGCCUGCCUUUCCGUGGGAAGGGGGGGAGGUACUGGAUGACUCCAGUGCCAGGAGAUCUAGGGCUGCUUUGGUAUAUUCUGUAAAUUGCUAUAGUUUCCUUCUUGGCAUACGUCCACAUUCAUCUCUUCUGGCCAACGUGAAGAUGGGCUUUUUGGUGAAAUGCCAAAGUACAUGAAGGAAGGGGGCGGGGGGUGGAGGGGAAAGGGACUCCUAGUUUCUAAACAGAUCCCAAAUGCUGCUGUGUUAAGGCUGAUUGUACUGAACAAACACAAGCCCGCAGCGGUGACUCUGAGCUCGGGUGACUGACUCCUGGGAGCUUUUUGGCUGUGUGUUACAGCAACGAGUUGGAACUUCUCUGCCUGCCUGCUUCUCCAUUCGAAAGAUCCUCUUCAGCUAUUCUUCAUUGUGCUAUAGAUACCUAAUCCCUUGAUAUGUGGUCUGCAAGCCUUUGACAGGCAGCAUGUCUUACACCAGUUUAAAACCUUGAAGAAAGGUUAUUUAGGGUUUGAUGCAUAAACAGAGAUUGCCAGAUGAGUGAGACACGUGGUAUGGGAGAAGGGUGACUGCUUCCGGUAACUAAGACCUGGGAGGGGAGUUGCUCACUCAGAAUGACUUUGCUGUCUCUUAGUAUUUCUGCCCAGUAAUUGCUUCAGUCAGACCAUGCUUCAUGGUAAGCUGCUGGGCAAGUGGCUUUAGACAAUAGUGCGAGGAUGAUCUCUCAGCAGACCACAGGACUUCAGUAGGCACUGCAGUAAAUUCUUUGCAAGUUGUGUGCGUGAGCAUGUUCAAACUUGCAUUUGCCUCGUAGCCUUUACAGUCUAUGGGAUAAAGAGCAUUUUUGCAAAUGAGCAUGUUGCAUUAUUUGAAUUUGCCCAAUGGACUAGAAGAGCUAAUACACCUUUUUAUUAAUUAAACUAAAUAUCUGCUAAACGGUAUCUCCAAAGACUACGCUUAACACAAACAGCCAAUUUCUAUCAUUUGUUUGACAAGCUGACUUUUUUUAAUAUGGUUUGAUACAUGUGAAAAUGAACUGACAAAACGCUAGUUAAUCUUGUGACACAAUCACGUAGCCAGGAAAUCAAUGCAAAGUAUUAUCUUCUACUCUGCAGUUAACUUAAUUGCAGUGCCUAUGCAUUGUAGCACACAUCCUAUGCAAUGCCAUGCAACUCUAAACUAGCUCACUGCUCGCUGCCUUGGGCAAGAAAGGCCUUAGCCUUAAUUUCUAACACCUUGUACAUACUUAAAAGACAGUGACAAACUAAAAUGAGUUAAGGUGAAAAUUGCAUAAUGUAAAAGCACAGUGUCAGACUGCCCAUUGAAGUGUCUUUUAUAAAGCACCAAAACAGCAUCCACAACAGAAGCAGCCUAUUUGCUGUGAUAGUCUCAAUUUUAUGAAAACUGUGUACUAGAUAAAAUUUAUAUUGUGAUGUGUACAAAGUGUAUUUUAUAGCUUUGGUGAAUUAGUUUACUGUUUUGUAUAUAUGAAUUUUAUAAAUCUAUUAAAACUUGACUUGUUAUACUGUUCA